rnacentral:rRNA from 1 species
GACGAACGCUGGCGGCGUGCCUAACACAUGCAAGUCGUGCGAGAAAGUUCCUUCGGGAGCGAGUAAAGCGGCGCACGGGUGAGUAACACGUAGGUAACCUGCCCCCCAGUCUGGAACAACUAGAGGAAACUCUAGCUAAUGCCGGAUGAGACCACGAUCCCUUCGGGGUUGCGGCCAAAGAUGGCCUCUACUUGUAAGCUAUCGCUGAGGGAUGGGCCUGCGGGCCAUUAGCUUGUUGGUGAGGUAACGGCUCACCAAGGCUGUGAUGGCUAGCUGGUCUGAGAGGAUGACCAGCCACACUGGGACUGAGACACGGCCCAGACUCCUACGGGAGCAGCAGUGGGAAUAUUGCGCAAUGGGCGAAAGCCUGACGCAGCGACGCCGCGUGGGUGAUGAAGGCC